AAAGUCGUAACAAGGUCUCCGUAGGUGAACCUGCGGAGGGAUCAUUGAAGAGUUAGGGCCUCCGGCCCGACCUCCAACCCUUUGUUUUAACCAACCUCGUUGCCUCGGGGGCGACCCUGCCGUCCGCGGUGUCGGGGCCCCCGGCGGACCACUCAACUCUGCAUAUCUGCGUCUGAGUCUUAUGUAAAUCAUACAAAACUUUCAACAACGGAUCUCUUGGUUCUG
rnacentral:misc_RNA from 1 species